GGUAGGAUGGCUGAAUAAAAGCAUUAGACUGUAAAUCUAAAGAUAAAGGCUCACACCCCUUUUCCUACCA
rnacentral:tRNA from 1 species